rnacentral:rRNA from 1 species
AACACAUGCAAGUCGAGCGGAAAGGCCCUUCGGGGUACGUCGAGCGGCGAACGGGUGAGUAACACGUGAGUAAUCUGCCCUUGGCUUUGGGAUAGCCACCGGAAACGGUGAUUAAUACCGGAUACGACACUCCUCCGCGAUGGGGUGGGUGUGGAAAGUUUUUUCGGUCCAGGGAUGUGCUCGCGGCCUAUCAGCUUGUUGGUGGGGUAAUGGCCUACCAAGGCUUCGACGGGUAGCCGGCCUGAGAGGGUGACCGGCCACACUGGGACUGAGACACGGCCCAGACUCCUACGGGAGGCAGCAGUGGGGAAUAUUGGACAAUGGGCGGAAGCCUGAUCCAGCAACGCCGCGUGAGGGGAUGACGGCCUUCGGGUUGUAAACCUCUUUCAGCGGGGACGAAGCGCAAGUGACGGUACCCCGCAGAAGAAGCACCGGCCAACUACGUGCCAGCAGCCGCGGUAAUACGUAGGGUGCGAGCGUUGUCCGGAAUUAUUGGGCGUAAAGGGCUCGUAGGCGGUUUGUCGCGUCGGGAGUGAAAACACUGGGCUUAACUCAGUGCUUGCUUUCGAUACGGGCAGACUAGAGGUAUGCAGGGGAGAACGGAAUUCCUGGUGUAGCGGUGAAAUGCGCAGAUAUCAGGAGGAACACCGGUGGCGAAGGCGGUUCUCUGGGCAUUACCUGACGCUGAGGAGCGAAAGUGUGGGGAGCGAACAGGAUUAGAUACCCUGGUAGUCCACACCGUAAACGUUGGGCGCUAGGUGUGGGAUCCAUUCCACGGGUUCCGUGCCGCAGCUAAC